rnacentral:tRNA from 1 species
UCCCUGGGGGCUCAGUGGUAAAAGAAUCUGCCUGCAAUGCAGGAGACCUGGGUUCGAUCCCUGGGCCGGGAA